rnacentral:rRNA from 1 species
AUGGAUAAGCAAAAGAAUCACAAGAAUGCAGAAAUGGGGAACGAUGUGUUCCGCAGAAUAAUUCUUAAUCAGGUUGGCAGGGACAUCGGUUUGGAGGAGGAGAACGUGCCUUGCAAUACUCCGAGGAACUCCGUUCAUUCGCCAUUUGGUGGCUCGUCUGCCAAAUUUGGUGCUUCCACCAGUGGAAGUGCCGGUGCUGAGUCGGUUAGCCCAGGUGAGUAUGUCAGAGAUCCGGGAUCCAUAUUGAGUUUGCAGCCUUGGAUUUUCAAGAGAAGCAGCACAAAGAACAAUGAGGAAAUGGUGGUUCCAAGUGGUAGCAGGGCAGUUGGUAGAGGCAAGAAUCUGGUGGAUGGCUUUCGAGAUGGUUCGACUACUGAGGUUUCCACAAGAAGCCCUGGUCUUGGUUCCGGGCCUGGAAGAGGUCGAGGUGCUCUUAGGAGCAGACGAGCCCAGAGGCAUUUUAUUAAUCCACUUGUCGCAACAGAGAACUCAUACAUUCCACAACUUUACAACGAGAACUUCGAGUUUGAGGAAUGUACAUUUGCUCCAGUUCCAUCCCCAGCUUCUGCUAGGCCAUUCAUUGUAACAGAUGGGAGAAGAAUCAUUAGUAAAUCACGCUAUGAGCCAGUGCCUGUACCCUUUGAUAUUGGGUUCGACAAGGAGGAAUCUCGAAAUGGCUCAAAAGUGACAGAAAGUGUUGUUGGGAUUGCUCCGCUACCUGAGUUGAAUAAAUCCAAAAGGGGAUCCCAAACAGAAAGAUAUAGUAAACCAUCAAAACCACCAGGUUUACUUGAACGAAUGCUCAUGUUCUCCAGUGGGGUUGGCAUUGGUAUUAUAUCUUCCUCUCUAUCAAGCAAAAAAGAUCUUGAUUCAUUGAAGGGCACACUGAAGCGAAUGGAGAACUUGGUUCAGGAUUUGCAAGAUGAGCUGGAGAUGAAAGAGGGGUUAACUGUGAAGGAAUUGCCUAAUGAAACGUCUGGUGAACUAGAUGAUGGCAAUAUCAAAGCUCAAACCCCUGAUUCAAUAUCAAUGAGCAAAAUUGAAGCAGAACUUGAAGCCGAGCUUGCGAGGCUGGAGUUAAAUAUCACUUCAAACCACUUGGAAGAAGAACCGUUUGACUUGAUUGAGAUCGAUCAGGAGUUCAUUGGAGAUAUUGUUCAGGGGGAACUAAAGAGCGACAUGAUUCGUCGUGACAUUGCUGAUUACAGCAGUGAUAGUGACCAUGGCAGGGACAGCAGACAAAGCUCCCCAGAUUACACACAUGAGACAAACUAUCCUGUUUCACCUAGAAAUCUCAGUCUCCGUCUCCACAAGGUGAUCCAGCAUAGGCUGGAAGACCGAAUCAAGGAGCUUGAGACAGCACUUGCUCAGAGCCAGAAGCAGGCGCAACUGCACAUAAGGGCAGGACAGCGAGUCUUCUCCGAACAGACGUGCUCAAACAGUGAUUCAGGUUCUUCUUCCAACCAGGAUAGUCCAUUGUUUAUACAAGAAACUAGCUCCUCCGCCGAACCUUUCUGUCUAAAUCUAGCUGGAGACGCACUAGAAGCCUACGAUGAAGCCUAUGAAGAAUUCAUGAGAAUUGCUGACUCCCCUUGCACCACAAGUACAAACGGGAGGCCUCAGGUAAAUGAAGAUUACCCAGUGGACCGCAGCUUGGUCUGGGGCUUGGAAGAUGAGAGCGCUACAGAGCUGAAAGAGGACAGCACUUGGGAGCAGGCUGUGAAGAGCGGGGACCCUAACAGAGCUCAAGAGAGCGAUGGAGACGAGUCGGGCGACGAGGAUGACCACGAUAGUGAGAUGCUCAUCCAACAGAUUGUAGAGAGAACUAAGCAAGGCUCACCUGUACUCAUACAUGCUCACAGAAUGUUGUUUUCUGUGGAUGAUUAG